AAUUUCUUGAGGAAAACGAGGAAUUGGAUUUUGAAUACAAAGUAGUUCUACUGCAGAUUGCAGUGCCAACCAGAAGUAACGUACCUGAAUAAUUACAAGUCUGUGCAGAAAGCGGCUCGUGAAUGCGGCGUGCUAUAGUAUAAUGACCAAGAAACAUGACCACCAUCUAUGACAGUGGUGAACGGACGAAGUGGCAACAUGGAUGCGUCACUAUAUAUGUGCACAAAAUUUCAUCAUGCAUGGGCACAUUUAUUAGAUCGGAAGCUAGCAAGUCAAGUGCAUGAACUGGUUGCACGCGUAAAUGGUCGAUUCGGAACACUGAAAGCAACUCCGAUUCUACAUUUGGUUCGCCCCCCUCCCGUGAAGUACAAAGCCAAGUGUGAAGCUAUGAAGCGUAUCAAC